GCGGAGAUCAGUAACUUGAGUUUGUAACUCGAGUGAAGGCAUUAUAAGGUAAUUGGACUUGGGUUAUGUCUAAUCUGGUUGGGCUUGUGUGUGCAAUAUACUGACUUUCCCCUUCCAAGCUGGGAGUUGUCUGACUCCUAGAGUGGAAGGUACCUUGUCAGACUGGUUUCGCAAAGCAGCAAAAAUCUGCCUCUCGACAAUGGAAAGAUAACCAGAUAGGUGGACCAUGAGUCCACUAUGGCUGAUGGGCUGAAUCCAAAGAACAGCUACCUUA